rnacentral:rRNA from 1 species
GAUGAACGCUGGCGGCGUGCCUAAUACAUGCAAGUCGAACGGACAGACAGUGAGCUUGUGCCUUUCACGGUAGCGGCUGGCGGGUGGGUAACGCGUGGAUCAGCUACUUAUAUUUCGGGGAGAAUUUCGUGAGACCGGAUAUGAUACCACAGAAUAUAUUGAACCGCAGUGUGCAGUAGUGAUUGACGGCUUUUGUGUCUCUUAUAGCUGGUUCCGUGCCGGAUUAGCUAGUUGGUAAGGUAACAGCUUACCAAGGCGACGAUGCGUAGCCGAGCUGAGAGGGUGAUCGGCCACACGGGAACUGAGACACGGUCCAGACUCCUACGGGAGGCAGCAGUAGGGAAUCUUAGGCAAUGGGCGCAAGCCUGACGCAGCCAUGCCGCGUGAGUGAUGAAGGCCUUCGGAUCGUAAAACCCUGUUAUUGGGGAAGAACAGCUGUGGAAGUAAACCUGGCUGUUCUGACGGUACCCAAUGAAAAAGCACCGGCUAACUACGUG